rnacentral:tRNA from 1 species
AGGGCAGUAGUUCAGUGGUAGAGCUCCAGCUUCGUAUGCGGUAAGACUUGGGUUCGACUCCCGACUGCUUCC